GACGAACGCUGGCGGCGUGCUUAACACAUGCAAGUCGAACGAAGAGCGAUGGAAGCUUGCUUCUAUCAAUCUUAGUGGCGCACGGGUGAGUAACGCGUAAUCAACCUGCCCUUCAGAGGGGGACAACAGUUGGAAACGACUGCUAAUACCGCAUACGAUCUAACCUCGGCAUCGAGGAUAGAUGAACGGUGGCCUCUACAUGUAAGCUAUCACUGAAGGAGGGGAUUGCGGCUGAUUAGCUAGUUGGAGGGGUAACGGCCCACCAAGGCGAUGAUCAGUAGCCGGUCUGAGAGGAUGGACGGCCACAUUGGGACUGAGACACGGCCCAGACUCCUACGGGAGGCAGCAGUGGGGAAUCUUCCGCAAUGGACGAAAGGCUGACGGAGCAACGCCGCGUGAGGGAUGACGGCCUUCGGGUUGUAAAGCUCUGUUAAUCGGGACGAAAGGCCUUCUUGCGAAUAGUGAGAAGGAUUGACGGUACCGGAAUAGAAAGCCACGGCUAACUACGUG
rnacentral:rRNA from 1 species